rnacentral:rRNA from 1 species
UACGAAGGGGCUAGCGUUGCUCGGAAUCACUGGGCGUAAAGGUGCGUAGGCGGGUCUUUAAGUCAGGGUGAAUCCUGGAGCUCAACUCCAGAACUGCCUUGAUACUGGCGAUCUCGAGUCCGGAGAGGUGAGUGGAACUGCGAGUGUAGAGGUGAAAUUCGUAGAUAUUCGCAAGAACACCAGUGGCGAAGGCGGACUCACUGGCCCGGUACUGACGCUGAGGUGCGAAAGCGUGGGAGCAACAG